AAAUUGAAGAGUUUGAUCAUGGCUCAGAUUGAACGCUGGCGGCAGGCCUAACACAUGCAAGUCGAACGGUAACAGGAAGCAGCUUGCUGCUUCGCUGACGAGUGGCGGACGGGUGAGUAAUGUCUGGGAAACUGCCUGAUGGAGGGGGAUAACUACUGGAAACGGUGGCUAAUACCGCAUAAUGUCGCAGGACCAAAGAGGGGGACCUUCGGGCCUCUUGCCAUCAGAUGUGCCCAGAUGGGAUUAG
rnacentral:rRNA from 1 species